rnacentral:rRNA from 1 species
GGGGUGAAGAUAAGACGGAUUAGCGGCGGACGGGUGAGUAACACGUGAGUAACCUGCCUUUUACACAGGGAUAGCCUCGGGAAACCGGGAUUAAAACCUGAUGAAACUAUCAAAUCACAUGAUUAAGAAAGUUAAAACUCCGGUGGUAAAAGAUGGACUCGCGUCCCAUUAGCUAGUUGGUGAAGGUAACGGCCCACCAAGGCAACGAUGGGUAGCCGGCCUGAGAGGGUGAACGGCCACAUUGGAACUGAGAAACGGUCCAAACUCCUACGGGAGGCAGCAGCU